UCGUUUACUUUCUUCUCUGCUAUAAUCUUACAUCCUCAAAAUAGUGAAAUGAUAUGCUGUGUACGGCUGACGUUGGAGAUGAAAAUUACUGAACUCUUAUUAAUUUUUCAUGUUUCAGGAACAGGAACCUAGACCUUUGUCGCAGUUAGAUUUGGAGAAGGCCCUUUCCACUUCACGGAAGACAACAGUUGCUGCAAAUGAAUACUGCAGAAUGAACCAACCGUCAUCAUCUGGCGAUUCAGGUGAUUAUCAAGUUCAAGCUGCAAUCAAUGAAUUCUCUAAGCUUAUGAUUUCUCAAAUGAUUAACCUCCAAUCAGAUUCCCCGGAUCCUUAAAUUUUUUAUUUUCUCUUGAGCAUUCUUGUUGUACUACCAUUUAGCCUUAGUCCGGAUUUUAACAGCGAUAAGUUAGUCAUACUAGUUCUAGAACAUGUAUUUUUUUUUUUUAAUAUUAUAUACACUGCUUUUCAAAAUACCUAGCUUGGUAUUGCAUAUUGAACCAUAUACCAAGCUUAGCUAGUAUAUGGUUCAAUAUAUGUAUUUUUGUUGUUCCGCCCUACUUUUAAUAAUAUUGUAUCAUGAUAUGAUUCAAUAAAAAAUAAGACAUACAAUUGUAGUUAUUAUUAUCUGUUUCAAGAAUCAGAUACGUCAAACAUUCUUUGACGUUGUAUUAUAUUAUACAUUCUCAAGUACGUAAAUUAAGAGAUAAUAUAAAUUUCACUGGCCUUAGUCCUUAAGUGGAGUCAUAAAAAUACUUUAAUCUGGAAAUAAUUUUAAAGAACACUUACUUUUGGUGCACUUAAUUGUAACACAAGCCAAAGUUCAUCUUUAUUGUUGUAUUAUAUGAUUUAAUCCAUGAGUGGUAUAAUUGGAUCUAACACUGAAAUUCUCAACAACUUUAACAGAGUAAGCUAAGAUUGAGCAAGACAAUGAAGUUAUCAAGUUGCCAACAUAGAUGUGGGAAAAUAACUGGUGUUGGAGUGGGUGUGGCAUGCCAGAGAGAUCACAAGCUCAGUGGCAUGGAUGGUUACUCCUUUCAUUCUAUCAUAUCUUUGGUAAUUUAAGAUUUUUGCACACAUUAAACAAAUAUGUAAUUGUUGUACCAAAAGACAAAACAUGUGAUUGAUGUGUAUAUAUGUAAUAUUACUUUUUGUUGUAAAAAACAAUUCCAUUACUUUUUUUUUUGACACACAAUUCCAUAUGGCUUAAUUAGUAAAAUGAUCCCUUAAAGACAUUUUUUGUUUCACAUUGGCUUAAUUAGUAAAAUGAUCCCUUAAAGACAUUUUUUGUUUCACAUUGGUCCCUUAAAAGAAAAAAAAAAUCCGAAUAGGUCCCUUAAAGAGAAAAAAAAGGUCUGAAUAGGUCCCUUAGGGUGCGUUUGAUUCGUAAAGCAGUAAGGACUAGUACAUGACAGAACAAGAUAAUACAGGACAGGACAAAAUUGUACCGGAGAGAUAUAAAGCGAUAAUAUUUUUAUAUUCGAAAAUAAAAUGGGUAUUUUCGUAUUUUUUUUAUAGUUGUACUGUGAACAGAAAAUUGUUUUGGUGAGGGACAAAAAAUCUUGUUUUUGUCAUGUCCCUUGCUAUAUGAUUUGUCCAGUCCCAUAACCAGUUUCAAAUCAAACAGGGUACAACAAAAGUUGUCAAGUCCCCUGUUUUUUAGCCGAUCAAACGCAUCCUUAAAGACAUAUUCGUUAAUCAGUUUGGUCCUAUUCAGACAUUUUUUUAGGGACCAAACUGAUAAACGGAGAUGUCUUUAAGGGACCUAUUCAGAUAUUUUUUUCUUUAAGAGACUUAUUCAGACCUUUUUAUCUUUAAGGGAUCAAUCUAAAACCAAAAAUAUCUUUAAGGGACCGUUUAACUAAUUAAACCAAAAAUAUCUUUUACAAAAUACUCCUUAUUUUUUAAUAUAAAAAGUAUAGAUGCUCGUUUAAUAAUAACUGCAAUAAAAUAUAUUUUUAAAACGAUAGGGGAAGUAGCUUUUACGAUUAGAUAAUUCUACUUUUUUUUAAUAUGAAAUUUAGGAAUGUAUUUUUCUAGGACUGGUUCCGUGUAUAAUGAGAGUGUCCACCUGCACAGCCAGAACUUUGUAAAAUUGCCCUAAUACUCUAAUAAUUUAUAUUCUAACCAACUAGCAACCGUUUGGUAAGUCCAAUAAGCUAGCUUAUAGCUUAUUGAACUAGCUUAUAAACUUGUUUAAAAAAAAUAUGAAGUGUUUGGUAACGAGGUUCUCUAACUAGCUUAUAGCAUUUUUUGAGAUGCUAUUUCAAGUAGCGUAUGAGCUUAUAGCUUAUAGUUUUUUCAUUUUAUUCCAUAUUUAUCCUCAUUAAUUUUAUUUAUUUAUUUUUUAAAAAUUAUAAUAACUACCCACUAACACUUACAAAAAAAAAACUACCCACUAACUAUGUAUUUUUAUGUCAUUUUGUACUUACAACAGCUAAAUUUGUCAAACACUUUAAUUUUAUUCUACUAGCUUUUCAGCUAUAAGCUACCAGCAAUCAGCUAUCAGCUAUUAGCUAGCUUUUCAGCUAUAAGCUAGCUUAUCAACUAUCAUCUAGCUUAUAGCUUAUUUUUACCAAACAGAGCCUAAGUUUUUUCAGUUUGAAUACAAAGCUUUUAAUUUUAAUUUUUUUUCUUUCUUAUAAUAUUUUAUUAGAUUAUUUUCAAUUUCAUUUAUCCCCAAAGUGCCAAAAUGUUGAAUGAGAGAGAACCAAGUGCCAACAUUAAUAUAACAUUAUGACGUCGUUUGAAUAUAUGUUGCAUCAUUAUGGCAUCUGGGGAUAGGGGAUCGACUACAUGGAUCAAACGACGUCAUAAUGUUCUAUCGUAUGUUGCAUCCAUAUCUAACCCAUAAAUUUUUCCUCAAGUGCCAAAAUGUAGACAACUAAGUUCUUACAACAGCACAAUAAGAUAUGUGAGUAUUAUUAUAUUUGCCGUUCAAAAAAAAAUCGGAGUACUACCAUAGCAGCGAGCGAUGAACUCUGGAGAUCGUAUGGUGGUGAGUAUUGACAACUAAUAGUCCAAUAUAAAGAAAUCACUAACACUAUAUUAUGGUGAUGAUAAACUUUCAUCUAUGAUAGUUGAAGUGAAAAACUGAAAUUAAUAUUUUUUGGAUCAUUUAUGUUUUCAAUAGUGAUAGGUCCACGAUGUGAAAAACUGAAAUUAUAUUCUUCGAUACCGGUACACUUGCUGAGAUGGACAAUAGUAUAGGUUCACGAUGUACACAUCAACAAUGUAUCAAUACAUGUUCAAAUAAAAAAUGUAGUGAAUUGUUCAAUGUAGUUUUUAAUUCCUAUAGUUUUAUUUUGUUAUUCGUUUCUAACAUGUGACGUGGUCACUCGAGGGUACCACACAACAUCAAAAUACGACAUGGCAUGUCUUAUCAAUGUGCCACUUUAUCUACCUUAAAUGAGAAUAUAACAUCAUAGACUAAAACAUUCAGAACAUUAAAUUACACAAACAAAAUCUUAAAAUAUAGAUUAAAAGAUGGGUGUAGAUGACAAAAAGAGUGGUGGGAAUAACGACUUCCAUGAAGCCUUCGUCUAAAACCCAUUAUAUUUUUACGGCCCGGCCCAAUGAUUCACUAUCGUCAUCCGCAAGCAUUCUCGAUUCUUCAACCUUUCAAAACGCUCGGUUCUUGUGUCAAAAAAAAAAAACGCUCGGUUCUCGCUCACCAGAAUUUCGGGGUUGUUAGAUUCUGAUUGUUGAGAGAGUUUCUGAGAGAGAGAGAGAGAGAGAAUGGGAGGUUUAUCAGAUACGAAGGUACUACAGGAUUUGUUGUUGUACGCGGCUAGGGCAGCGCUGAGUUACUGGGUAUUGGUAACGGGGCUCCGAUAUCUUGACCCGAACCGUGAAUCAACGAAGAAAGCUCUUGAGCAGAAGAAAGAGAUUGCAAAGCGUCUAGGUCGUCCCCUUAUUCAAACCAAUUCUUAUGAGGUACCACCAAUUUCUUAAUUGUUGCUUCUAUAAUCAAUGCAAAAUUGGAUUUUUAGGUCUAGUUAACGUGUUUUCUUAGGUCAAAUUUCGCAUUUUCGUUCGAAUUCGUCUAGUAUGUUUUUAGUCUCAUAAAAUUACAAUCUUUUAAGUUUAGGGACUAUUUUUACUUUUUCUAAAUUUUAAGAAGAAAAUUUUGUAGAUUUAUGUAAAAAAAUUGGAAUAUUUUGUUUUGAUGUUUGAUUUGUAUCCUUCAUUGUGUGUAGGAUGUGAUAGCCUGUGAUGUUAUAAAUCCUGACCACAUUAAUGUGGAAUUUGACUCCAUUGGGGGACUUGAAGCUGUUAAACAAGCUUUGUAUGAGCUUGUUAUUCUACCCCUAAAGCGGCCCGACUUGUUUUCGCAUGGCAAGCUCCUUGGACCACAAAAGGGGGUUUUGUUGUAUGGACCUCCUGGCACCGGAAAAACUAUGCUUGCAAAAGCUAUUGCCAAGGAGUCCGGAGCAGUAUUCAUUAAUGUCAAGAUAUCCAACCUCAUGAGCAAAUGGUUCGGGGAUGCCCAAAAGCUCGGUAAGUGUGUGAUAUCCUUAAACCUAUCCUGUAGCAUAUUUUGAUGAUGAAUUGAAGUCUUAUAUUUUUUAUAAAUCCAUAUGGACACACAGAGACCCAUUAAAUUAUUGAUGCUAUCUUUGCAUCUAUAUAUAAGUUUGGCAUGCCAAUUAUUGUAAUAGUUGUAUGUAAUUUCUGUCAUUUUAGCUAUAUGGGUUGUAUGGUUGGUCAUGCCUUCAUCAUGAUAAUAUAUGAUUAGAGAAGUUCCAUCAUAGUUUGUUUUUCUUAAAAGGGAAUUUUAGUUUAACACAAAUUAUACAAGUUUAAUCUUGAAUGCUCGGCUAACUAUUUUUCCUUGAGAUUGGUUUAUUGAAUUACAUAGAAAGGACGGAGAUUGCUCAAUGUAUGAAACCUGCGAAAAGACUCUCCUCCAAGUAUUUUUUUUUUCCCUUCUACAACAGUUAGGAUAUAGAAUAAUGGCUAACUAGAGUAGAUAAAGUAGUUAAGAGUUGUUAGAGUAGAUAAUAGCCAAAUAGGAGAGCACAAAGGGUAGCAAGCAUCUUUGAAUAUUGUAAUUGUGAAAAGAGUAUUAUUAGUCUCUACUGUGAAGAGGAAAUCCUUGAGGAGAGAUUCUCCUAUUUCGUAUUAAAAUUGUUAUUUCUUUGGAAUUCAAUUAUUGGGUUCCUAACAACAACCGGGUCAUUUCUCUAUGCACUCGAUGUUUACAAAUCUUAAGUAUGUCCCUCUCCCCCUUACUUCCUAUGUAUGCAUGUCCACCUCCUUAACUAAACGAUAAACCUAACAAUAAGAGAAUGAAAGCAUAAGAAACACUGUUAUUCUGAAGAAUACCACCCUCCCUCAAAAUCAACUUAGCCCUCAUGGGUGUAAUCUAAAAGUUGGAACAUAGAAACACUUCUGUCCUGCACCUAUGAUAUAAGAGAAUGGCUACAUAUAGCCCACUGUGUUGUAAACAACGGUUAAAGAAAAACUUCCCAUCUGCUCUUUUUCAAUAAUAUUGUAACUGUGAUCAAUUUGGAUUUGGCUCACUAGGUCGAGAGAAACAGAUCCAACAUAUUUAAACCCACAGCUUCUAGGCUCCACAUGUUGUUCCUCAUCGAAAUCCAACCUUUCCUAUGAGAUAUGCUUUUCUCUUGUAGCCCGGGCGGAGAGAGAUACAUGAACAAAGAGCAGAGAGAGAUGCACAAACAGCUCGCACAGGCAGAAACUCAAAGAUGCUAGAGAUGAAACAGCUGACAAACUCAAUUGAAGGAGGCCAUAACAGUUAAUCGGUAGAUUUAAGCUUGACAUCCUGUUUAGGCUUUCACUUUUAACCCACAAAACUGUCUAAUGUAACCAGGUAGAAGACACCCAAACCGUGUAGUUCAGUUUCUUGUUGCACCAAAGAAAUCGUGAAAGAUCGGCUACCCAAGCAAUUUGACAUGCUAGCACGUCGAUCCAAGAAAUUUCACAUGAUCCCACCAAGUUUCAAUUCUGUUUGGGAUCAAGAUUGUUCAGUGUCGAAAAUUGUCAGAUUUAUUUAAUGAGUUGAAACUCAAUUUUAAUGUACCUUGGUUUGUAGGCAUGACUGGACAUUGCAUAAUUUGGAUUUCCAUGACUGCCAUGCAUAGUAAUUCUACUGUACUGACAGCAUAAAAUUGACUGCAGUACCCGUGACCCAAAAAUGUUCGGCCAUUGCAGGGUACUUCAUCUAAGCUUGACCGCCCUAUCUUGACCUUUCUCCAUCAGGAUGUUACAUUUGACAUUUGGGCACAACCACUGAUAGAAAAUAUUAGCCAAUAUCCUUAACAAAUGGUUUAGGAGUAGGAUGAAACUAUUUUUUUUUAUUCGUCUAUGUAGAAAAUAAUAGUCCGUAUGAAUAGGAGUAUUAAAAGGCCGCCUACAUCCUUUCCAUAGACCCUGCCAUGGUGCGAUUUUCAUACAACCAGGAUGUCUUAUUUUUUCUUGUGAAAAGUAUGUAAGUAAUACAAUGUGACUGAUCAUUGAACUUGUUUUUUGUGCAUGUAAUAUAUAUUGUGGAGUGUGAAUGUUGUUUUAAAUCAAUGUAUUUAUACUGUGAAGUGCAGUCAUUCUUUUAAACCAAUAUCUCAGCUUGUUUGAUGGAUAAGGCCAUCUGUUCAUCUAAUGGCAAUCUGUUGUUCUCAGAUGGAUAGUUGCAUUGUAUUGAAAAAAAAAAAUGAACGUAUAGAAGAUCAAGAUAAUUUGAAAUACAAGGGAAGCCCUUCCUCUACUUAUUUAAUGCCAUUUGAUAAAUUUCCUAGCUGCGAAAAGUAAAAUCACCAGGAGAAUAUACUAUUAUUUUUAAACAAGUUAUUGUUGGAAUUGGAACUGGUCAAGUUUUAGAUGAAAAAAAGUAAAACCACCACGAAAAUAUGACAAACAAUUCCAGUUUCAGAUGAUUAAAAGGGCUUCCUUGGAUUAUAUGUUGUUGCUGGUCAAGUUUUUCAUCCUUGCCUAAUCCUUCGUGAUGAGUGUACAUGCUUAGUGAUGGUGACCCCUGUACAGGUUCUCUAAUAACUACAGUUUAGCAAAUAUGUAUAUAUUUUUUGAAGGCUUGAAGCUGUUCAGCCACACAGAUUCUUCAUUAUAACAGUUAACUAGGGCAACCUGGCAUACCUAAUUCCGCUCCAUUUAUCAAACCCCAAUUGAUUAUACCACAGAAAUUUGUAUCUAAUUAUUUAUGUGAUCAAUUUGUUUUAUGUUCUUUGUUCAAGCUCUAUUCUUUGUUUUGGUCAAUCGCUAAUAUUUUGCUGUUCUGCAGUGGCUGCCGUAUUUAGUUUGGCCGACAAGCUUCAGCCUGCCAUCAUAUUCAUUGAUGAAGUAGACAGUUUUUUGGGUCAACGUCGUACAUCAGAUCAUGAGGCUAUGUUAAACAUGAAAACGGAGUUCAUGGCUCUAUGGGAUGGAUUCACCACCAACAGUAAGAUUUAAAUUAGUUGUCAUGUAAUUUUGGUAUUUUGUUUAAAUUUUCAAAACAAGUGACAGUUUUGAUGGAGAUUUAACUAUUAUUACUACUGACUACUUUGUUAUUUUUUAUUUUUGUGUAGAGAAUGCUCAAGUUAUGGUGCUUGCAGCAACUAAUCGUCCUUCGGAACUUGAUGAAGCAAUACUCAGGCGGCUUCCUCAAGCUUUUGAAAUUGGAUAUCCAGACCAGAGAGAGAGGGCUGAGAUAUUGAAGGUUAUCUUAAAGGAUGAGAGGGUUGAAGAUAACAUAGACUUCGGUUAUAUAGCUGGAUUAUGUAAGGGUUACACUGGUUCAGAUCUAUUUGAUCUUUGCAAGAAGGCUGCGUAUUUUCCUAUUAGAGAACUACUGGAUGAUGAGAAGAAAGGGAAAGAAUCUUGUGUACUGGAUGACGAGAAGAAAGAGAAAGAAUCUUGUGUUAGUAUAUUUGUCAUUCUCUUCUACUUUCUUAUCUGCCUUAUUUUUUUAAUUUUCCUAGUCGUGAAUAAUAUGCUGUUUAUGACUGACUUGGCUAGACUGUUUGUGACGAUGUGGAUGUGAUUUCAUAUAUCAAGGCUUGUUAACUGUAUAGUCGUCUUACUGAGCUGUUUUAUUUAUUUUCACGUUUCAGGAACCUAGACCUUUGUCACAGUUAGAUUUGGAGAAGGCCCUUUCCACUUCACGGAAGACAACAGUUGCUGCAAAUGAAUACAGUAGAAUGAAAGCACAGUCAUC
rnacentral:lncRNA from 1 species